rnacentral:rRNA from 1 species
CUGGGUCUGACGCGCAGCAUGAUCAGCCAUGCCGCGUGCAGGAUGACGGUCCUAUGGAUUGUAACUGCUUUUAUACGAGAAGACACACUGAUUCGUGAAUCAGCUUGACGGUAUCGUAAGAAUAAGGAUCGGCUAACUCCGUGCCAGCAGCCGCGGUAAUAGA